CACGUCGAGAUUUCAAGCCAUG
rnacentral:miRNA from 1 species